rnacentral:rRNA from 1 species
CAGUAGCCGCGGGAAUACGUAGGUGGCAAGCGUUGUCCGGAAUUAUUGGGCGUAAAGGGCUCGCAGGCGGUUUCUUAAGUCUGAUGUGAAAGCCCCCGGCUCAACCGGGGAGGGUCAUUGGAAACUGGGGAACUUGAGUGCAGAAGAGGAGAGUGGAAUUCCAUGUGUAGCGGUGAAAUGCGUAGAUAUAUGGAGGAACACCAGUGGCGAAGGCGACUCUCUGGUCUGUAACUGACGCUGAGACUCGAAAGCGUGGGUAGCAAACAGGAUUAGAUACCCGAGUAGUCCCUGUCUCUUAUAC